AAAACGGCCCUUUUCAGGGCCACUAAAUUUAAUAAAGGCUUAUACU
rfam:Macrostomum lignano uti_cns_0046614, whole genome shotgun sequence.